AAGGAGCUUGAAGAACAGGUUAAGAUCCUCAACAUGCUGUAGUUUGAACUUAAAGCAUCCACAAGACCCUUAGCAUGUGUAUGCAAAUUGCUAAGUCGUGGCCUGAAGCAAUGAUUGAGCACCUGGUGGAGGGACAGCCAGCCCUGGGAGCACAGGUGAAAGCAAUUCACCUGCGUGACUGGAAGGGGCUAACCUAACCUAGCCUCAUUUAAGGGCUGGCUACCACAAAGGGCGUAUCUCUAUACGGAGCUCCCCUCUUCUGGAGUAUUUGGCCAUUCCAGCACCCGCUUUAUCUCCAGUGAUCUCUGACCCCUGCAUGUCAGGAGUUCAAUCUGAACACUGGAGCUCCUGGCUGCCUAUCGACUCCCCAACUUCAUUUAAGGAAAGUGCACAAGGGAACAGCUGAAAAUCAAGAUGCCUGAGGAUUUAAGAUAGGAAGAUCAGCAGCUUGUCCUGGUGGAGAAAAUGGACUGUUUGCAUCAAUCCUUCUCAGGAUGCUUUGGGGUGCAAUGUCUUGGUCACCCUUUAAAAAGGGGGAUCCAUUUAAAAAUUGCUUGCUCUGCACAGAAGAGCCCUGUAGGUAUUGUAAAAGAGGCACCCAAUGUCUCUCCUCUUCCAUGGUCUCUGUCCAAAGGAAGAGUCUAUAGGAACAUGCUGAGGUGCCCUAUUCCCAGACCCUACACUUCAGUCAUGGGGCAGUGCUGGGGGGGGGUCCUCAACCCAUUCCAAUGAGUGUGACCCAUUCCUUCUUGGGCCACCACAUCUUGAAGCCACCCCUUUUUUUAAGGCAUAGAUCUGCCUCUUGGUCAUCUCUUUUUGGCUCUGCACAAAAAAGUACAUGUGCCUCCUUUCUGCCCUUGCUCCUUUCCUUUUUAGAACAAGGACAGAAAUAAAAAGGGAAAAGCUUGCAGUGUCUCCAUGAGACAGCAGAGCUUUGAUAGGACAGCUUCCUAAGGAACAUUUAACCCAGCUUCAUUUUCUCAGAGAGGAAAACCCAAAGCUAACCCAGGAGCAGCCAUCUACCAAGUGAUACAGGGUGGGGAGACAGAAAUGCUCCUUUGGCACAGGACAUCCUGUGUCUGCCUCUGUGGAUCCAAUUCCCAUAGUGAUGGGGACCACAGGGUGGUUUGGUUGGAAUGCAAUUGGCUGUGAGUUUAAUUC